rnacentral:rRNA from 1 species
GACGAACGCUGGCGGCGUGCUUAACACAUGCAAGUCGAACGAAGUGGCGAACGGGUGAGUAACGCGUAAUCAACCUGCCCUUCAGAGGGGGAUAACAGUUGGAAACGACUGCUAAUACCGCAUACUGAAGGGGGGGAUUGCGUCUGAUUAGCUAGUUGGGGGGGUAACGGCCCACCAAGGCGAUGAGCAGUAGCCGGUCGGGGAGGAGGACCGGCCAAAUUGGGACUGGGACACGGGCCAGACUCCUACGGGAGGCAGCAGUGGGGAAUCUUCCGAAAUGGACGAAAGUCUGACGGAGCAAAUCCGCGGGAGUGAUGACGGCCUUCGGGUUUUAAAGCGCUGUUAAUCGGGACGCGGUACCGGAAUAGAAAGCCACGGCUAACUACGUGCCAGCAGCCGCGGUAAUUC